rnacentral:lncRNA from 1 species
GCUUUAACCACACAGGUUACUUAAAGAAUGAGCUAACUAAUUUAAGGGAACAUAAAAAAAUAAAAGAAAUGGAUCAACAUGGUUUUAGUUAUCCAGAUGUUUAUAAGAACACUUUGGAGGAUAAUGAAAGAAAGUUAAUAAAAAUGAAAGCAUCAGACGCAUCAAUAGGUACAAAUGCAUUAUAUGGAAAACUAGAAAAAAGUGUAAGUAAUCAUGUUCCUGGUUAUAGUCCUGGUUAUAGUCCUGGUCCUGGCCCUGGCCCUGGUCCUCCCCUCACACAUAAGUCAUUAAAAAAAGAAAACACUUUUAGUAUGAAUGGUAGUAGUAAGCUGAAUAAUACAAUUGGCAAGAGCGAGAAAAGCGAAAGUAACAAAAUAAGCACAGAAAAAAAAAAAUCGCACACAUUAUAUUUAGGUAAAAAACUUUUACAAGUAUUUCAUAAAAAUAAAAAGGAUAAACAUGAAAUAUUAAAACUAAAAAAGAUUAAUACAGUAUUAGGAAAUAAUACAAGUUAUAAUAAAAAAAAAAAUAAAAAAGAACAGAUGAAUAUAGGUAUAUCUUUUUCACCGUCUGGUUUAUUAAUACCAUAUCAUUUAGGUGUAUGUAGUUUAUUAAUUGAAAAGAAUAUAAUGAAUAUGCAUACAAAUAUAGCUGGUUCAUCUUCUGGUAGUAUUUGUGCUUGUUGUUUAGGUGUUGGUUUACCACUGGAAAAAUGUUAUCUUUUAGUAGAAAAAGUAAUUAGUCAAGUAUAUAAAAAUAAGUGUUAUCAUCAAUUAAGAGAUAUACUGAAUUUACAAUUAACAAAAUAUUUUUACACAGAUAGUUAUAACUAUUUGAAUAAUCGUUUAGGCAACGUAGCUGUGGGUAUAACUCAGAUUUUGCCUUAUUAUAAAAAAUUAUCAAUUAAUAAAUUUUAUAAUGACGAAGAUUUAAUUACAGCAAUAGUAGCAUCAAGCAACAUUCCCAUGUAUGUUUCUAAUAAUAUUUUUGUGAAUUUUCGUAAUAAAAAAUGUAUUGAUGGUAUUUUUAGUACAAAAAAAAAAUAUUUUGGGUGUCCCAAAACAAAAACUGAUAGAAUGAUCAUUGUUUCUCCUUUUUUUUCUGAUUCGGUUGGAAUCGAAAAUAAAAACAACAGUGUUAUAAGUCCUCAUGUAUAUAAACAUGAACACAUUAUAAUUAUGUUUAUAUCAAUAAAAAACUUAUUUCAUAAAUUUAUUAAUAAAAUAUGGAUAGAGAAAGAAUACUUCUUUUUACAAACUCAGUUGCAGCAUAUUUUGAAUGAUAAAAUAUUUGAUAUGGACCAUUUUUUUAGUAGUUAUUUUUGUUUUUUAAAUGAUGGUGGUGGUGAUGGUGGCGGUGAUGGUGAUGGUGGUGGUGAUGGUGAUGGUGGUGGUGGUGGUGAUGGUGAUGGUAGUGGUGAUGGUGGUAGUGGUGAUGAUGGUGGUAGUGGUGGUGGUGGUGGUGAUGAUGGUGGUAGUGGUGGUGGUGGUAAUAUCAACUUAUGUAAAAAUAAUAACGUUGAUUCGUUUGUCAAUACAAUUAGUUCUAUUUCUAUUGCUGAUGUUGUUGCUGAUGUGGUUGCAGGUGCAGUCGCUGAUGCUGUUGCUGACGCAGUUGCUGACGCUGUUGCUGGUACAAGUGUUAGUACAGGUGUUGGUGCAAUUUAUAAAAACAGAUUUAGUAACAAUAGUAAUAAAAACACAACUUUGACAUACUCAGCUAAGAACAUAAAAGCAAAACUAAACAAAUUAAACUGCAUGAACUUAAGUAAUUCCGAAA